AGUCUGCUGUCAAAGCGUGGGGCUUAACUCCAUAGAGGCAGUGGAAACUGAGUGACUAGAGUGCGGUAGGGGUCGAGGGAAUUCCCAGUGUAGCGGUGAAAUGCGUAGAUAUUGGGAAGAACAUCAGUGGCGAAAGCGCUCGACUGGGCGUGCACUGACACUGAGGGACGAAAGCUAGGGGAGCGAAAGGGAUUAGAUACCCCUGUAGUCCUAGCCGUAAACGAUGGAUACUAGGUGUUGCUUGUCUUGGACCCGAGCAGUGCGGUAGUCAACGCGUUAAGUUUCCCGUUUGGGGAGUACGCUCGCAAGAGUGAAAUUCAAAGGAAUUGACGGGGGCCCGCCCAAGCGGUGGAGUAUGUGGUUUAUUUGGAUGCAACGGGAAGACCUUUCCCAGGGCUUGACAUUUCCGGAUCCUUGCCGAGAGGUGAGGGUCCUUUCGGGAGCCGGAACCCAGGUGGUGCAUGGCGGUGUUCAGCUCGUUUCGUGAGAUGUUGGGUUAAUUCCCGCAAGGAGCGCAACCUACUUUUUUAGUUCCCACCAUUGAGUUGGCCAUUUUAGGGAGACUCCCGGUGCCAACCCGGAGGAAGGUGUGGAUGACGUCAAGUCACCAUCCCCCUUACGUCUUGGGGUCCACACGUAUUCCAAUGUUGUGGCCAAAGGGCAGCCACCCAGCGAUGCUGAGUUAUUCCCAGAAACCGCGCCUCAGUUCAGAUUGCAGGCUGCAACUCGCCUGCAUGAAGGAGGAAUCGCU
rnacentral:rRNA from 1 species